GGACGAACGCUGGCGGCGUGCUUAACCCAUGCAAGUCGAACGGAAAGGCCCUGCUUUUGUGGGGUGCUCGAGUGGCGAACGGGUGAGUAACACGUGAGUAACCUGCCCUUGACUUUGGGAUAACUUCAGGAAACUGGGGCUAAUACCGGAUAGGAGCUCCUGCUGCUUGGUGGGGGUUGGAAAGUUUCGGCGGUUGGGGAUGGACUCGCGGCUUAUCAGCUUGUUGGUGGGGUAGUGGCUUACCAAGGCUUUGACGGGUAGCCGGCCUGAGAGGGUGACCGGCCACAUUGGGACUGAGAUACGGCCCAGACUCCUACGGGAGGCAGCAGUGGGGAAUAUUGCACAAUGGGCGGAAGCCUGAUGCAGCAACGCCGCGUGCGGGAUGACGGCCUUCGGGUUGUAAACCGCUUUCGCCUGUGACGAAGCGUGAGUGACGGUAAUGGGUAAAGAAGCACCGGCUAACUACGUG
rnacentral:rRNA from 1 species